AUUGAACGCUGGCGGCAGGCCUAACACAUGCAAGUCGAGCGGAGCGGCGGACGGGUGAGUAAUGCCUAGGAAUCUGCCUGGUAGUGGGGGAUAACGUCCGGAAACGGGCGCUAAUACCGUAUACUAUCAGAUGAGCCUAGGUCGGAUUAGCUAGUUGGUGGGGUAAAGGCCUACCAAGGCGACGAUCCGUAACUGGUCUGAGGGGAGGAUCAGUCACACUGGAACGGAGACACGGUCCAGACUCGUACGGGGGGAAGCGGUGGGAAAUAUUGGAAAAUGGGCGAAAGCGUGUUCCAGCCAGGCCGGGUGUGUGAAGAAGGUCUUCGGAUUGAAAAGCACUUUAAGUUGGGAGACGUAACCAACAGAAUAAGCACCGGCAAACUUCGUGCCAGCAGCCGCGGAAAUA
rnacentral:rRNA from 1 species